AUUGAACGCUGGCGGCAUGCCUUACACAUGCAAGUCGAACGGCAGCACGGGAGCAAUCCUGGUGGCGAGUGGCGAACGGGUGAGUAAUAUAUCGGAACGUGCCCGGUCGUGGGGAUAACGUAGCGAAAGCUACGCUAAUACCGCAUACGAUCUACGGAUGAAAGCGGGGGAUCGCAAGACCUCGCGCGAUUGGAGCGGCCGAUAUCAGAUUAGGUAGUUGGUGAGGUAAAGGCUCACCAAGCCGACGAUCUGUAGCUGGUCUGAGAGGACGACCAGCCACACUGGGACUGAGACACGGCCCAGACUCCUACGGGAGGCAGCAGUGGGAAUUUGGACAAUGGGCGCAAGCCUGAUCCAGCAAUGCCGCGUGCAGGAUGAAGGCC
rnacentral:rRNA from 1 species